GAUGCGAUGAGCAGACCUUAUAUUGUCUGAAGAGAGGUGAUGACAUAAAAAUCACUUACUCCAAUGGGGAUUGCGCUGAGGCCC